rnacentral:rRNA from 1 species
CCUUAUUGCCAUAGGCUGUGCCCUUGUCAGAUUUCAUAAGCUAGGCUUGAUGGACUUGGUUAGUAUUGGGAUGGAAGACCUCAAAGAAAACAAAGUCUGAGGA